CAGGCUUAACACAUGCAAGUCGAGGGGCAGCGGGGAGGAAGCUUGCUUUCUCCGCCGGCGACCGGCGCACGGGUGAGUAACACGUAUGCAACCUGCCCCUGUCAGGGGGACAACCCGCCGAAAGGCGGGCUAAACCCGCGUACAUGCCACCGGGGCAUCCCGGAGGCAGGAAAGGCUUCGGCCGGACAGGGAUGGGCAUGCGGCGCAUUAGGCAGUAGGCGGGGUAACGGCCCACCUAACCGACGAUGCGUAGGGGUUCUGAGAGGAAGGUCCCCCACACUGGUACUGAGACACGGACCAGACUCCUACGGGAGGCAGCAGUGAGGAAUAUUGGUCAAUGGUCGGGAGACUGAACCAGCCAAGCCGCGUGAGGGAGGAAGGUACAGAGUAUCGUAAACCUCUUUUGUCAGGGAACAAAGGCGGGGACGUGUCCCCGGAUGAGUGUACCUGAAGAAAAAGCAUCGGCUAACUCCGUGCCAGCAGCCGCGGUAAUACGGAGGAUGCGAGCGUUAUCCGGAUUUAUUGGGUUUAAAGGGUGCGCAGGCGGUCUGUUAAGUCAGCGGUCAAAGCCCGGGGCUCAACCCCGGCCCGCCGUUGAAACUGGCAGUCUCGAGUUGGAGAGAAGUAUGCGGAAUGCGCGGUGUAGCGGUGAAAUGCAUAGAUAUCGCGCAGAACUCCGAUUGCGAAGGCAGCAUGCCGGCUCCACACUGACGCUGAGGCACGAAAGCGUGGGUAUCGAACAGGAUUAGAUACCCUGGUAGUCCACGCAGUAAACGAUGAAUGCUGGCUGUCCGGGGGGAUUGACCCCUGGGUGGCGAAGCGAAAGCGAUAAGCAUUCCACCUGGGGAGUACGCCGGCAACGGUGAAACUCAAAGGAAUUGACGGGGGCCCGCACAAGCGGAGGAACAUGUGGUUUAAUUCGAUGAUACGCGAGGAACCUUACCCGGGCUCAAACGGGGAGUGACUCAGGCAGAGACGCCUGUUUCCCACGGGACACUCCCCGAGGUGCUGCAUGGUUGUCGUCAGCUCGUGCCGUGAGGUGUCGGCUUAAGUGCCAUAACGAGCGCAACCCCCGCGUGCAGUUGCUAACAGAUAACGCUGAGGACUCUGCACGGACUGCCGGCGCAAGCCGCGAGGAAGGCGGGGAUGACGUCAAAUCAGCACGGCCCUUACGUCCGGGGCGACACACGUGUUACAAUGGGUGGUACAGCGGGAAGCCAGGCGGCGACGCCGAGCGGAACCCGAAAUCCACUCUCAGUUCGGAUCGGAGUCUGCAACCCGACUCCGUGAAGCUGGAUUCGCUAGUAAUCGCGCAUCAGCCAUGGCGCGGUGAAUACGUUCCCGGGCCUU
rnacentral:rRNA from 1 species